rnacentral:misc_RNA from 1 species
GUGAAUCAUCAAAUCUUUGAACGCAAAUUGCACUCUCUUCGGAGAGUAUGCCUGUUUGAGGGCCAGCAUAAAAAAAUUUGACAUAGUUGUUGUUACGCGGUAAUAUUCGUCGGGAAUUGGGUCAUCUUAUCCCUUUGGUUUUAAGAAGAUUAAAAUUUUCUUUAAGAUUCCAAGAAAGUUUAUAAGAUUUUAUUUUUUUAUACGUAUAAGGGAUCGAUCUUAAUUAGUCGCGGCCUUUGUUU